GACGAACGCUGGCGGCGUGCUUAACACAUGCAAGUCGAGCGGUAAGGCCCUUUCGGGGGUACACGAGCGGCGAACGGGUGAGUAACACGUGGGUGACCUGCCCUCAGCUCUGGGAUAAGCCCGGGGAAACUGGGUCUAAUACUGGAUAUUACUCUGCGGUGCAUGCCGUGGGGUGGAAAGCCUUGUGCGGCUGGGGAUGGGCCCGCGGCCUAUCAGCUUGUUGGUGGGGUGGUGGCCUACCAAGGCGACGACGGGUAGCCGGCCUGAGAGGGCGACCGGCCACACUGGGACUGAGACACGGCCCAGACUCCUACGGGAGGCAGCAGUGGGGAAUCUUGCGCAAUGGGCGAAAGCCUGACGCAGCGACGCCGCGUGA
rnacentral:rRNA from 1 species